GAGCGCCGUCCGGUUGAUGAUCACGGCUCCUUACAAGCGAGUGGCCGCAGGUUCGAAACCUGCCGCGCCCA
rnacentral:tRNA from 1 species